rnacentral:rRNA from 1 species
UAGGGAGUAUUGGUAAUGUGCGAAAGCGCGAACCAGCAACGCCGCGUGCACGAUGAAGGCCUUCGGGUCGUAAAGUGCUUUUAGAGAGGAUGAGGAAGGACAGUACUUUCUGAAUAAGCCUCGGCUAACUACGUGCCAGCAGCCGCGGUAAAACGUAGGAGGCUAGCGUUAUCCGGAUUUACUGGGCGUAAAGCGCAUGCAGGUGGUUUUGUAAGUUGGAUGUGAAAGCUCCUGGCUUAACUGGGAGAGGUCGUUCAAAACUACAAGACUUGAGAUUGGUAGAGGAGAAUGGAAUUCCGGGUGUAGUGGUGAAAUGUGUAGAUAUCCGGAGGAACACCAGUGGCGAAAGCGGUUUUCUGGACCAAUUCUGACACUCAGAUGCGAAAGCUAAGGUAGCAAACG